UGGGGAAUAUUGGACAAUGGGCGAAAGCCUGAUCCAGCCAUGCCGCGUGUGUGAAGAAGGUCUUCGGAUUGUAAAGCACUUUAAGUUGGGAGGAAGGGCAGUAAGCGAAUACCUUGCUGUUUUGACGUUACCGACAGAAUAAGCACCGGCUAACUCUGUGCCAGCAGCCGCGGUAAUACAGAGGGUGCAAGCGUUAAUCGGAAUUACUGGGCGUAAAGCGCGCGUAGGUGGUUCGUUAAGUUGAAUGUGAAAGCCCCGGGCUCAACCUGGGAACUGCAUCCAAAACUGGCGAGCUAGAGUAGGGCAGAGGGUGGUGGAAUUUCCUGUGUAGCGGUUAAAUGCGUAGAUAUAGGAAGGAACACCAGUGGCGAAGGCGACCACCUGGGCUCAUACUGACACUGAGGUGCGAAAGCGUGGGGAGCAAACAGG
rnacentral:rRNA from 1 species